GCUGCCCAGGAUGAGGGCCUGGCUCCCACUUGGGACCUGACCUCACGCCCGACUGACUUUGACUGGUGGGAGUCAACGUGCACUCCAGAUGUGUGCACCCAGACACAGCUCAAACCAGGCUCCAUACACUCAGGUCCUGUCCCCAUGCAGACACUCCGUGCAGACCCGAGCCCUGUCCCCUUGCAGACCCUCCGUGCAGACCCGGGCCCUGUCCCCAUGCAGACCCUCCGUGCAGACCCGGGCCCUGUCCCCAUGCAGACCCUCCGUGCAGACCCGGGCCCUGUCCCCAUGCAGACUCUCACUGUAGACCCGGGCCCUAUCCCCAUGCAGACUCUCACUGUAGACCCAGGCCCUGUCCCCAUGCAGACCCUCCGUGCAGACCCGGGCCCUGUCCCCAUGCAGACCCUCCGUGCAGACCCGGGCCCUGUCCCCGUGCAGACCCUCCGUGCAGACCCGGGCCCUGUCCCCAUGCAGACUCUCACUGUAGACCCGGGCCCUGUCCCCGUGCAGACUCUCACUGUAGACCCAGGCCCUGUCCCCGUGCAGACCCUCUGUGCAGACCUGGGCACUGUCCCUGAGCAGACCCUCUGUUUGUCAAUUGGGUCUGGUUUGUCGGGCAGGUCUAACCCUCUGUCUCUGUGGGAGGCCACAUCCCAUGGCGUGGGCACCUUCCCUUCCUUGCCUGUUGGGAAAUGGCGUUUCUGCAAGUUCUAUUUCAGUAGCAGAAUUUCUGAAUCACUGGCACUGAGCCCUCGGGGAGCCUCUAAAAGUGGCACUUCCGAUCCCUCACUCAGUGGUUAGGAGGCAUUUGCUGGGUUCCUCCCUGCCCCCUGCUGUGGAGGCAGGAAUGACUCAUCCUCCUGCUCCGGGAUUGGAAAGAUCUUCUGACCUAACUGGGCAACAAGAAGAGGCUGUGUGCUGACCAGCCUUCAGAACACGCUAAGAUGCUCUUGCUCGGGAAGUGGCAGGGGCCGAACACUGUUCGAGUGAUGGAAGAACCGAAGGUCCAGGAGACAAUGGGGAGGACCAUCCACACCACAGGGCUGCACGUCGGUGCCGGGUGGUCCCGUCCACCGCCUGACAGCCUCCUUCCACAGUGAGAAAGGGUUUCCCGGCUUCCAGGUCCUGCGGCACCGUGGAUGGUGGACAGAGCCGACUGCCCGCCGGGCCUUCCGAAGCUGCUGCCGACGGCUUAGGUGGUCGGCCUGCACCCAGCUGACAACUAGCCCAAGAGAGGGGGCUGCAUCUCCUGGGUGGGGACUGUGGGGCCUGCACGGGGAGCUCGGCUGGGUCCGUGUGCUGCGACUUCUCAGGGAUAGGGCAGCCUUUCUCGAUUCGGGGACACCGGAUGCAUCUCAGUGCGCAUCUGGGGUUGGCAGCUGCCGCCUUGGAAUUAAGUCAAAGGCAGAAAGCUGAAUCCAAGACAGGGCACGUCUGAAUCCCUGGGAGAGCUCCCUGGAUGCAGGCUCCGAGCGCUCCUGGAAGGCCUGGCUCUGCAGGUUAAGUGGAAGGCCAGGGCACCUGGACCCAGGGGACCACAGACCAUCCUCUGAGAAGCAAAGCAUGGACGGCGCCUCCUGAAACAGAUGAGCUGCAUCAGGAGGGAGCUGAAGAUCAAAAGCAGGGUUCACGUUUAGAAAUUAGGGCUCUCGGCCGGAGCUCAAGCCGUGUGCCCUGUGCCCUGGUCCUGCUCUCGGGUGGCCCCACUAGGAGGGCUUUUGGGGUCUCAGCUGGUCACUCAGGGCCUCCCGAUGAAGCGCCAGGGUCCAGGCUGCUCCAGGAUGGACCGCAGUGUCACCUCAACCACUGCAGGCUGUCAGGGGUGGCCCUCUGGCUGAGCAGAGGUUCUCCCUGUGACCCGGCCUGAUGACCUGAGGCCAAAGGGGCCCUGGCCGGCCGGUAAAGGCUUAUGGGGAGGCCAGGGGGCUGGAGAGGCCUCACGAAGCCUCAUCUGGGCAGAGCAGGUCAGCACUCACUGCCCUGGGCCGGCCGGGCUCUGCUGACCGCUGGCCCCAGCCCCCCACGCCAGUUCCUCCUUGACCGCCUGCCCCUCUGAGCCUUUACUGGAGCCGCUCCUGGGCCAGGCGGACCCCGUCCAGGCUCUUGGUCAGGCUUGUCUCGUUGAUCCCUCAGGGAGGCUCUGUGAAAUAGGUACCAGUGGCCUGGUUUCCAGGGGCGUGAGCAGACACAGGUGCAGGGAAAUUCAAGCCUCACUUGCUGCCUCUGAACCCAGCGAGCUCUCUGUGUCGACACCCACCACCCUCAGACUGGGUAAUGGGUAACGGGACUCCGGUUGGGCUGUGGAGGCACGGUGGGAAACUGGUUGGCAGAAGGUCCUUGAGCAAAGGGUCCUCCUGAUGUCCUGGGACCCCUCACCAUGUAAGACGUUCCACCCACUCCGAGGGGACGAUGGUGGCACCGACAGAGGCUGAUGGACACUGAACCUGGGGCGGAGCCCACCUUCUCCUCUGGAGACUUCCCCAAACCGGUCUUGCAGGUGGGGGAGUGGGGGGGCGGGAGGGGCCCUCCUGGUGGCUGUCACAGCCCUUGGCUGACCCGACAGCAAGCCCCAGCCCCUGAGGGACCAGGCGUCUCUUAGUGGUGGCAGUGGGCAGGGUGGAUGGAGGGGGCAUCCCCCACUGAGCUCCUGCCUCCUCCUGCAAACCUGCGCUUCCUCAAGCAAAUGGACCCGAGGGCCCAGGGAGCCAUUUGACUGCAGGUGAGGCCCAGCCGGAGCGCUGUGGGUGGUUUCGAAUUUCAAUUGUUCCUGUCUUGAGCGGCUCCACCAGCUGUGAGAUCUGGCCUUGAACAUUAGUCCACUCCGCUCCUCUGUCAAGAGGGCCUUUCCAAACCGUGUUCCCUCCCUGUUUAGUGCUGCCUGACGGCCUCCCUGCGCUUUCAGGAUAAAGAGGAAAGCCCUUCUCUUCCCUCCUGGCUCCCUUUCCAACUGAGGCCUCUCUGUGCUCUGGGUCUAGGCUCCCUGGCCUUCUUUCCAUCUUGGGUUCUCUGUUAUCUCUGACCACAGGGCCUUUGCACCUGCUGUUCCCUCUGCUUGCAACCCUCUUUGCUGGUUUCAGAUUUCAUCUCAAUAUCCCUUCUUUUGGGAAGCCUUGCCUGACUUUUUGACUAGAGAAAUCCCCGUUUUACCUUCCCAGAGAACCAUCUUCUGCUCUUUCACAUAAUUAGCACAAUGACGUUUCACAUUUGCUUGAGUGACUAGUUAGUUUUUAUUCGUGUCCACCAUCAGACUUGCUUCCACUUAUCUAUUACCGCAUAACAUCUACCUCCAAAACUGAGUGGCAAAAAAUUUACUCAUUUUAUUAUGCCCAUGAUUUUUUGGGUCUGGAACUCGGGCAGAGCAGAGAUGUCUCAGCUGGGGCGGCUCAGACUUUCAGAGCUGGCUGGGAUGGCUCCACUGGGGCAGGGUUCCUUCAUGUCUUCCACGUCCUGUCUGCUGGGGUGGGAAUGUGCAAGGUGGCUCCUUCCCUCACAGAGCUGGGCCAGCCAGAGUGAUGGGCUGGGCCGGGUAUCCCUCUUUCUCCACAAAGCUGGCUUGUGGGUCUCACGGCAUGGCAGUCCUGGGUGUCAGACACUGUGCGUGGUCACUGCCUUCCCCAGAGCAGGACCCAGGAGAGCAGGAGGCAGCUGAGGGCUUCUUCUAACCCAUCUGGAAGUGUCCGUCACAUUCCACUGGCAUCGCAGGGCCAGCCCAGGUUCAAGGCGGGACCACAUAAGGGCAAUUCCCCAGGGGACGUCUCUGGAGGCCAGCCCCCAGAGACAGAAGGCCAGGCAUGAGGAGAGGGGCCCUGUGUGUUCUGUGCUCCAGAAGGUGCUCAGGAUAGUGGCUGAAUGAACGAGUGAGUGAACGUAAACUUGAGACUAAGACUGGGGAGACUGCCAAGACACUAAAUUCCUUGAGAGCAAGAAAAAUAAAUAUUGGCUAUUGGUAGCACCCCGUCGAAGGCACACGCAUUCUGCCCAAUGUGUAGGAUUGUUAAAUGGAGACCUACUUCUCACUUCUGUUUGGACUCGACACCAAGGCGUUCCUGAGGAGUCUGGUGUCACACCCAAGCCCCGUGGGCUGCGGGGACACCAAGGGAAUUGAGUUUAGAGGACAAUUUAGAAGCUAGGAACUCCCAUGAACACUCACUGUCUAAACGGAAGCAGCAGGUGAAGACCCACAAUGGAAGAAGACCCUGGCUUUGCAGAGGUAUCCAAAAAUCUUGAAGGGGUUCCUUCUCUUUUCAACCUGUCCUAUGAUAAUCUCUUUAUUGACACAAUUUCUGGCUGAACCUAUUGGGAGAGUAUUUUCACUACAAUUUUGAAAUGCAAGUCGAUGAGACAGUGGGAUGUGCACAGGAAUUCUAACACCAUCCACGGAUUUGAGAGCAAAUGCUUUCAGGUGGGUGACAUGCACCACAGACAUUGGAAUCGUGUGGAAGGUGGACUCUGGCUGCGAGGCCCAGCCAGGAGAGGUGGGGCCUGCAGCCCUUUGAUAAACAAAUGGCAAGCAAUAGGAUAUUGGAGUAUAUGAGGAAGCCAUUUAGUGUAAAAUUAAUUUGGCCUGACCUUGUUUUUCCAAAAGGGCCUGACGUGGCCGAUGAGCAUGCAUUUCAUAUGUCCCAAAGACAAGAACGAAUGGGCUUAAGAUAAAGAUGCAACUUCCCCCACAUUGGCAUUUCCUUAAGGAUAAGCAUCUUUGUCUAGCCCUAGGAACUGAUUGCUGCACCCACCUGUGACCACCCAGCUCACCUGUGAUCACCCAGCUCGAGACCACAGACCUGCCACCUGCUGUGUCCAUUAAUCACUGUGCUGACAGAGCAGUCUCAUGACUAUUGUACAAGAACAAUUUCAAUCACAUGUGACACAUGCUCUUUGACAGUAUAUAACCACUCUGUACACCCCACUUCUUUGGUGCCCUUCCUUCCUUGGGGAAGGAGGCCCUGGGCUAAGCUAGUCCUCAGAUGUGGCUCAUAAUAAACUCAUCCCAGUUUGAUUUAUAGAUUGGUUAUGGAUUAUGUGUCUCGACACCUGUCUGCUGACAGGUUUCACUGACUGAGCCACGGUGGCUUUCCAGACCCUCGUCUCUGACUUGGGGGCCUGAAGGUUUGUUCCUCCUGGGUGAAGCUCACGACUUGGUUUCCAUCAAUUGUUUUGUGAAUGGAAAUGAAAAAGUUCAAAAGACUCAAUAGCCUACUGAGGGUGAAUCACGUUUCUUAUUGUCCACUUUAAAUGCACAGGA
ensembl:lncRNA